ACGCUCGACACCUACGGGGGCAGCAGUGGGGAAUAUUGCACAAUGGAGGAAACUCUGAUGCAGCGAUGCCGCGUGAGGGAAGAAGGUUUUCGGAUUGUAAACCUCUGUCUUUGGGGACGAUAAUGACGGUACCCAAGGAGGAAGCUCCGGCUAACUACGUGCUAGCAGCCGCGGUAAUCUGAGCGGGCUGGCAAGGC
rnacentral:rRNA from 1 species